rnacentral:rRNA from 1 species
AGAGUUUGAUUCUGGCUCAGGAUGAACGCUAGCGAUAGGCCUAACACAUGCAAGUCGAGGGGCAGCACAUGAAGUAGCAAUACGGAUGGUGGCGACCGGCGCACGGGUGAGUAACGCGUAUGCAACCUGCCUACAACAGGGGAAUAACCCGUUGAAAGACGGACUAAUACCCCAUAACACAGGGAUCCCGCAUGGGAAUAUUUGUUAAAGAUUUAUCGGUUGUAGAUGGGCAUGCGUUCCAUUAGCUUGUUGGUGAGGUAACGGCUCACCAAGGCAACGAUGGAUAGGGGAACUGAGAGGUUUAUCCCCCACACUGGUACUGAGACACGGACCAGACUCCUACGGGAGGCAGCAGUGAGGAAUAUUGGUCAAUGGACGCAAGUCUGAACCAGCCACGUCGCGUGAAGGAAGACGGCCCUACGGGUUGUAAACUUCUUUUGUAAGGGAAUAAAGUGCAGUACGUGUACUGUUUUGCAUGUACCUUACGAAUAAGGAUCGGCUAACUCCGUGCCAGCAGCCGCGGUAAUACGGAGGAUCCGAGCGUUAUCCGGAUUUAUUGGGUUUAAAGGGUGCGCAGGCGGGAGAUUAAGUCGGCGGUGAAAUUUUGCAGCUCAACUGUAAAAGUGCCUUCGAAACUGGUUUCCUUGAGUGUGGAUGAAGUAGGCGGAAUUUGUGGUGUAGCGGUGAAAUGCAUAGAUAUCACGAGGAACUCCGAUUGCGCAGCAGCUUACUAAACCAUAACUGACGCUCAGCACGAAGGCGUGGGGAUCAACAGGAUUAGAUACCCUGGUAGUC